GAUGAACGCUGGCGGCGUGCCUAAUACAUGCAAGUCGAGCGAACAGACGAGGAGCUUGCUCCUCUGACGUUAGCGGCGGACGGGUGAGUAACACGUGGAUAACCUACCUAUAAGACUGGGAUAACUUCGGGAAACCGGAGCUAAUACCGGAUAAUAUAUUGAACCGCAUGGUUCAAUAGAGAAAGACGGUUUUGCUGUCACUUAUAGAUGGAUCCGCGCCGCAUUAGCUAGUUGGUAAGGUAACGGCUUACCAAGGCGACGAUGCGUAGCCGACCUGAGAGGGUGAUCGGCCACACUGGAACUGAGACACGGUCCAGACUCCUACGGGAGGCAGCAGUAGGGAAUCUUCCGCAAUGGGCGAAAGCCUGACGGAGCAACGCCGCGUGAGUGAUGAAGGUCUUCGGAUCGUAAAACUCUGUUAUUAGGGAAGAACAAAUGUGUAAGUAACUAUGCACGUCUUGACGGUACCUAAGCAGAAAGCCACGGCUAACUACGU
rnacentral:rRNA from 1 species